AUCUUUUCUACCGGUUCUGUUUAUCAGCCAAACUUUAGCUGACCUUUGGACUUGUUAAGCAAGUGGCUUGCAGCCUAGGCUGGGUGGGGGUGAGGGGCUGCUUUUCCACAGGCGGCGGGUUCAUCUUUAGUGGAGAAAGAAGAAACCGCGCUUCGGGGGUUCAGGUCUGGCCCGGAAGGAAACCUUGAGCCUUUCGGUGCUGCAGGAGUUUCUGCCACAGCUCCCCUGGGACCCGGAGAGGAAGAAAGGAGGCGCAGGCCGCACCCGGACCUCCAGGCUGGGACCUGACCUGAGGGGUAGAGACUGCUUCAAUCCAUACACAGUAAUAGCUCUCCGGGGCGGAAGCCACUUUGAACCUUGGUUUCUUCCUUUGUGAAAUACAUUCCUAAUAACCAGGAAGCAGGGAAGGUGUAGACACUGAGGAAGACCACCUGUGCAAAACUGGCUAACACUUGUGUUCACACUUUCCAGUCCGUGAAGGUGGGAGGCCAGUUCCCAGUGGUAAAAUCUAGCCCUUUAGAAGCUUGGGGUUCUCAGAAUCAGGGACACUGAGGUUGGAAGAACUGGGCAAAGAAGGACAAAAGUUCAGAACUCUCGGGAGAGCAAAGGAACUUCUAAGCACAUCCUCUUAACUGCCUGCACUUUCAAAAGCGGUGGAUUAGGAGGAAAUUGCGGUUGGGUCAGAGGUAGAGAUGAAUUUUCACAAGAGAGAAGAGAGUGGCCCGCAGCCUUCCUCUGCUAGGCGUAGGGUCAGACCUCCCGGUGAGUCACUCUGCACGGGUGAAGAUUCUGUGAAAGGCGGAGCAGUGACUGGUACCUGGAUCACCUGUGCUUGGAGUCUGGGAGAAGGAAGGGGUGCGUGCGGGUGUGUUACACCUAUCCCUGUUUAUCUGAAAAAGGGGUUGUAAGUUCACAGAAGGGAGGGGGAGCUUCAUUUCACCUUCUUGCUUUCUAGUUUGUUGUGACAUAUGACAGAUCCUUGCCUCUUGUGAUCCUGCCCAGUAGGAGAAUUCUCUGCCUCCCAGUGCCGGCCACUCAGGCAGGAUGAUGAAGUGUUCGAAGAACCUUGUUUUCCCCGCCUCUUACUCAAUAUAAGUAAUAUAAUAAAGUAUAAGGAGCAGCA